rnacentral:rRNA from 1 species
GAUGAACGCUGGCGGCGUGCCUAAUACAUGCAAGUCGAGCGAACAGACGAGGAGCUUGCUCCUCUGACGUUAGCGGCGGAUGGGUGAGUAACACGUGGAUAACCUACCUAUAAGACUGGGAUAACUUCGGGAAACCGGUGCUAAUACCGGAUAAUAUAUUGAACCGCAUGGUUCAAUAGUGAAAGACGGUUUUGCUGUCACUUAUAGAUGGAUCCGCGCCGCUUUAGCUAGUUGGUAAGGUAACGGCUUACCAAGGCGACGAUGCGUAGCCGACCUGAGAGGGUGAUCGGCCACACUCGACCGGAGACACGCUCCAGACUCCUACGGUAGGCAGCGGUAGGGCAUCUUGCGAACUGGGCGAAAGCCUGACGGAGCAACGCAGCGUUGGUGAUGAAGGUCUGCGGAUCGUAAGACUCGGUUAUUAGGGAAGAAAAAAUGUGUAAGUAAUUAUGCACGUCUUGACGGUACCUAGUCAGAAAGUAAAGGCUAACUACGAG